rnacentral:rRNA from 1 species
UACGGAGGGUGCGAGCGUUGUUCGGAAUCACUGGGCGUAAAGGGCGUGUAGGCGGUCCGCUAAGUCUGAUGUGAAAGCCCUGGGCUCAACUCAGGAACUGCAUUGGAAACUGACGGACUGGAGUACCGGAGAGGGAAGCGGAAUUCCUGGUGUAGCGGUGAAAUGCGUAGAUACCAGGAGGAACACCGGUGGCGAAGGCGGUUUCCUGGCCGAGUACGUGACGCUGAGGCACGAAAGCGUGGGGAGCGAACGGG